GACGAACGCUGGCGGCGUGCUUAACACAUGCAAGUCGAACGGAAAGGCCCCUUUGGGGGUACUCGAGUGGCGAACGGGUGAGUAACACGUGAGUAACCUGCCCUUGACUUCGGGAUAACUUCAGGAAACUGGGGCUAAUACCGGAUAGGAAUCCUUGCUGCAUGGUGGGGGUUGGAAAGCUUCGGCGGUUUUGGAUGGACUCGCGGCUUAUCAGCUUGUUGGUGGGGUAGUGGCUUACCAAGGCUUUGACGGGUAGCCGGCCUGAGAGGGCGACCGGCCACAUUGGGACUGAGAUACGGCCCAGACUCCUACGGGAGGCAGCAGUGGGGAAUAUUGCACAAUCGGCGGAAGCCUGAUGCAGCAACGCCGCGUGCGGGAUGACGGCCUUCGGGUUGUAAACCGCUUUCAGCAGGGGCGAAGCUUGUGGUGACGGUACCUGCAGAAGAAGCACCGGCUAACUACGUG
rnacentral:rRNA from 1 species